ACGAACGCUGGCGGCGUGCUUCACCCCUGCCAGUCGAACGGAAAGGCCUCUUUCGGGGGGUACUCGAGUGGCGAACGGGUGAGUAACACGUGAGUAACCUGCCCUUGACUUUGGGAUAACUUCAGGAAACUGGGGCUAAUACCGGAUAGGAGCUCCUGCUGCAUGGUGGGGGUUGGAAAGUUUCGGCGGUUGGGGAUGGACUCGCGGCUUAUCAGCUUGUUGGUGGGGUAGUGGCUUACCAAGGCUUUGACGGGUAGCCGGCCUGAGAGGGUGACCGGCCACAUUGGGACUGAGAUACGGCCCAGACUCCUACGGGAGGCAGCAGUGGGGAAUAUUGCACAAUGGGUGGAAGCCUGAUGCAGCAACGCCGUGUGCGGGAUGACGGCCUUCGGGUUGGAAACCGCUUUCGCUCAUGACGAAGCUUUGUGUGACGGUAGUGGGUAAAGAAGCACCGGCUAACUACGUG
rnacentral:rRNA from 1 species